rnacentral:rRNA from 1 species
UGGGGAAUAUUGGACAAUGGGCGAAAGCCUGAUCCAGCGACGCCGCGUGUCGGAAGGAGUCCUUCGGGAUGUAAACGACUUUUGGUGGAGACGAAUAAGCAGCUCAGGGAAUGGGGCUGUGAUGACGGUAUCCAUGGAAUAAGCCCCGGCUAACUACGUGCCAGCAGCCGCGGUAAGACGUAGGGGGCAAGCGUUACCCGGAAUUACUGGGCGUAAAGGGAGCGUAGGCGGGAGGUCAAGUCCGGUGUGAAAGACCCUGGCCCAACCAGGGAUGAGGGCUGGAAACUGACAAUCUUGAGUACAGCAGAGGAAGAGGGAGUUACCGGUGUAGGGGUGAAAUCCGUAGAGACCGGUAAGAAGGCCAGUGGCGAAGGCGCUUUUCUGGGCUGUUACUGACGCUGAGGCUCGAAAGCCAGGGGAGCAGACCG